CCUACGGGUGGCAGCAGUGAGGAAUAUUGGUCAAUGGGCGCGAGCCUGAACCAGCCAAGUCGCGUGAGGGAUGACUGCCCUACGGGUUGUAAACUUCUUUUAUCAGGGAGUAAAGUGAGGCACGUGUGCCUUUUUGUAGGGACUUUGUGAAUAAGGCACGGCUAACUCCGGGACAGCCGGCGCGGUAAUACGGGGGGUCGUGGCGUUAUCCGGAUUUAUUGGGGUUAAAGGGGGCGUAGAUGGGUUGUUAAGUCAGUUGUGAAAGUUUGGGGAUCAAACGUAAAAUUGCAAUUGAUACUGGCAUUCUUGAGUAGAGUGGAGGUAGGCGGAAUGCGUGGUGUAGCGGUGAAAUGCUUAGAGAUCACGCAGAACCCCGAUUGCGAAGGCAGCUUACCAACCUCUGACUGACACUGAUGCUCGAAAGUGUGGGGAUCAAACAGGAUUAGAUACCCGGGUAGUC
rnacentral:rRNA from 1 species